GUGACCACAUCAAGGUGCUAGGAGGGAGCAUCACACCCCCUCCCCCAUCGACCAAGACUUGCCCAUGAAUCUCUUCUGCAUGUCUGUUCCUGAGUUGUAUCCUUUGUAGUAAUCCAGUCAAUUUAAGAGAAGUGUUUUCCUGAGCUCUGUGAGUCAUUCUAGCAAACUAUUGAACAGGAGGAGGGUUUCAUAGUAACUCUGGAUUUAUAGCCAGUCUUUCAGAUGUAUGGGAGGUUCAAACGUGCAACGGCAUCAGAAAUGAGGACAGUCUUGCGGGACUGAGCCCUUUUACUUAUGGGAUCUGAUGCUAAUGCCAGGUAGUUAGCGUUAAAAUUCAAUUAAACUGUCGGACAUCCAGCAAGGGCCCAGGAAGCUGGAGAAUCACUUGGUGUGUUAAAAAAAAAAAAAAACAAAAAAAAAAAAACAAAAAAAAAAAACACAUUUGCUAUCGGAAGCGGCGUACUGAGAGUGGCAGGAGGCAGCCAAAUGCUUAGGCAGAUAGGGGCAGGUCCCUAGUGAAACCCCACCUCCAACUGAAUACCAACCCGUAAAGCCUGAAAGCUAAGCUACACGUUAAAUCCUCAGACAGAAUUGAGAACUUGUCUUCCUGUUUGGCGUGCUUUCCUCUGAUUGGUCCCCACCCUUCACCUGUGGUAUAUGUACCUAGCUUUCCCAAUUGGCUUUUCUACACUGUUUGCCAUGCCCACCUUUGAUGGUGUCUUUGCUUUAACCUUGUGUUCAUACUCACAAACCAGUCAGCAUGCACUUUACAUUCUAGAGUCCAUAAAAGGCCAGGACCCAGACGCACGGGGGUCUUUCACACCUUCAGGAAAGGAAAAUUGUGAUGGGUCAUCAUCUUGUCUACGCGAUUUCACUUGCAAAAUUCCCUUAGUGCAUAAAUUACUUCAAUUUCAAAUGAGACAACAUGAAUACCACAUUACAACCUGAUACAUUUUGGUUCUCAUUCAGGAUAAAAGAAGAAUAAAAUCCAUAUGAACUAUUCAAAAUCUCCUUUUUGAUCACGUUUUUCAGGAUCUCCUCCUACCAAUACGCUCUUUCCUUCAUUCUUCUUUACAUUUACUCCUCCGAGGUGUCAUUUCUACAGGAAACUGAAAAGCAGGAACCUGGUUUUGAGAUCUUUGAUACGCUCAGUAUGUGACUCCAUUCCCAAAGUCCUUUGUUUCAACUGAAAUCGUUUUAGUCUUUUAUGCUUUUUGUUCAUACUCCAGGCUCACAUAAAUAGAAAUGCUUGACUACAAGAUUUUGCAUUCAAUUUUUAGGUCGAAGGUUGAAUCAUCUUUCUUCUGAAAAUGUCUAACUCAAAACUUUGCAAGUCAUUUGAAAACCUGUUCUUUAUUAUUUUCUGUGACCCAAACAAUUAACCAAGUCAGAGGGACAGAUGAGGAAGAAGUAAGGAAAUAGCGGGAAUUUUUCCACAGAAAUAAUUUGUGAGUGCAUUACUUUCUCUCUCUCUCUCUUCGCUACCAAAUAUCUAUCUUAGAGAGUCUUAAAAUUCAUACAUUAUUUUACUUGAGUAAAUGAUAGAAAAUAGUAUAAUAAAAUUUAAGGUACAUUUAUGUCUUUACAUAUAAAUAAACAUUAUCCUACUAAAGCAAGGAUGUAAAAGAGAUGACUCUUGCCUCUCUUUUGAUCUAGAAAAAAAUGAUGCAGAGGCUACUGAGGCAGGAGAAUAGUAUCUGGAGUCAGGGAACGUAGGCAGCUGAUACGUGUUGACUUCUUAAAGCUGAAUCAAGGGAAAAAAAAAAAAACCAUCAAGGUCCGGGGGCAAGGAAUCUGAGGACAAUUCGUGAUAAUUUCCUAAAGUUAAAUCAAAGGGAAAACACCUGGGUUUGGGGUCAGAGAACCUAAAACCAAUUAAUGUGAACUUCCUAAAACUAAACCAAAAGGGAAAACCCUGUCUCCCCACGCCCCAGAAAGCAGGGAUCAAAGGCUACUCUCUCUUACAACCCUCCCGCUUCCACGACGUCUCAGAUGGAAAGGGAGUGUGCCUUGGAUUGGGCAAGGGCCAAGCAAGGGCCACCCCUUCAUCUGCAUAGGGCGCCAAUCUCCUUGGCCUUGGGUUAGCCAUGGGCCAAUCCCCUCAGUCUUUAAUUGGCCACGGACCAAAUCCUUUAUCUAGAUAAGGGUAACUGAUAGGGGCCUCAAAAGGAGCACUUAAAACCCAGAAAACUUUGUCACUGGGCCCUUAAUCUCCUGGCUCGUCCCUACUCCCACACUGUGAGUGCUUUCUUGCUUUAAUAAAUACCUGCUUUUGCUGCUUCAUUUCUGUGUUUCUUUCCAAAGUAACAAAUUUGUGCAUUUCGUUCAAUUCUUCGUUCAAAAUGCCAAGAACCCGAACAACUCACUCAAGGCCUUCUUUCCCGUAACACCACCGUCAUCUUAUUUUGAUGAUGUUUAUUGUUCAAAAAUUCAAGUCUAUGUCCUGAUUAAUGCUCUUAGGUUUCUCUGCCUAACUUCUAAAGGGUAUUUGUCAGAUUAACUUACACAAUAUUUUGUUCCAACUCUACUGUUUCAUCGUAAGAACACUCCUAAUGUGCCUGAUGAAUAUCACUCUUGACAUCAGUCAAUAUACUCCUUUAUGUUGUUCUUUGAGGAAAUAAUGUUGAGAAAAAUAAUAUCCAGGAAAGAUCCCCUAAGAGUUUACUCUACAUAGUUUAAUUUCUCCCUUGC